UGCAGGAGAACACGGUGAAUAAGAAGGGCAAUCUAGAUCUCUCAGAAUUAUGUUGGAAAAAGAGAAGAAAUAAGCAGAAGAAACUGCGAAAGUGCAUAAAACAACUAAUAUCUGUUCCUGGCAGUUUAGUAUCUCCUGGUGUGUCCUGUUGCAAUAAGCAGCUGCCCUGUCAACAUCAGUGAAAAAUGAGCAUUCCAUCAGACUACAGUGAACAUGUGACAGGAUUUCAAUAUGCACUGGAUGAUGGAGCACCAUGAAGUGCACUAUCAUAAGAGUCGAUCUCAAAGGCAGCAAAGUAAUUUUUCCUAUACCCCUGGAACAAGAAUGAGGGGUGUCCAAUAUGCCAUUAUUUAUGUUUUGUGACUGCCGGCUGCUGACUUUACUUCUUUUUGCAGUAUUUUGGGAGACAUUAUUGUGACAUUCUCUGCCAUUGGAAUUGUAAUAGGUGUAACAUUUCACUCCCCAGGAUGGGCUACACUAUAAAGAAGCAGCAGCUUAUAAGACAGUCAAUAGGAAAACAAGAAUCACCAGACUGUUGCAGUUUGGCAUUAAAGCCUCAGUAACUACAGGCCUUCAUGGACAAAAGAUAAAGGAAAAUCAGUGCCUGGAUGAAUGCAGUUCCACCACUUUAGACAUUC